rfam:Lottia gigantea unplaced genomic scaffold LOTGIsca_5972, whole genome shotgun sequence.
GGCGCCGUAGCUCAGGGGUUAGAGCGUCUGUCUAGUAAACAGAAGGUCGAGGGUUCAAUUCCCCCCGGUGCCU